rnacentral:misc_RNA from 1 species
CAAGAAUUACACGUAAAUUUGUAGGAAGGCCAGUGUCUCCCUUGCCUCAGUUUCAGAGAACAGUAAAGUUCAGAACCAAAAAGAAGAGAAUGAAUGCUGGUUUAAGAGAUAUUGCACAUUUAGCAGAUACAUUCUUAACCGAAGGGUUGGAUCCCAUGCAAAUUGACUCUAUAACCAGGAUCAGGUCUAUUGCACAUGAUUGUUUAGGGGACCAUAUCGCAGAUGAAACAGUAAUUUCAGUCAAUUCACAGAUAGGAGACCUCGUUGAAGAUACAACCGUAGUUGCAACGACUUCACAGAAAGAAGACCAUGAUGGAAAUGCAACCAUAGUUGCAGCCACUUCACAGAAAGAAGACCAUGAUGGAGAUGCAACCAUAGUUGCAGUCACUUCACAAAAUGAAAUUGGCAAAAGAAAAAGGGAAAAGGAACGUGUAAGAAGGAACACCAAGGGUAAACGUAAGAGGAAGGAUGAUUCAGUACAAUAUUAUACUGCUAGGGAGGUUGAGCCAAUUCAAUUUUACGCUACACCAUUCAGGGCUGAUCCGAUGCAUUUAUGUUGUCAUUGUCGUGUUAUUAGUCACAUUGAUCAUUCAUCCAUUAAAUUUGGCAAAAGAGUGAAGAAAAAGGAUAAAGCAAGAAAGAAGUUGAGCAAGAAGACAAACCGGAAACGCAAGAGGAAGGAUGAUAGAGCGCAAUGUGAUGCAGCUGGUGAGGAUGCCCUGUCUCAAUUUCACAGUGCAGCUACCAAGGAUAAUCAGAUUCAAUUAUCUCCUGUUGAUAGCAAGGAUGAUCAACAGCAGCUAGUUCUUGCAGAUGGUGAGGUUGAAGGUUUGCAGCCACAUCAGAAUGAUGGUGAGCUUGAUCAUUCUGAACCAAGUCAUGCUGCUGUUGAAGGUGAGCGAUCAGAGACUAACCAUGCAGCUUCUGAAGGUAAAGCAACAGAGUCCAGUAAUGCAGCAGAUAAGGUUGUUGACCCAAAUGGUGGUGACAUAGCCCA